AUUGAACGCUGGCGGCAGGCCUAACACAUGCAAGUCGAACGGUAACAGAAAGCAGCUUGCUGCUUUGCUGACGAGUGGCGGACGGGUGAGUAAUGUCUGGGAAACUGCCUGAUGGAGGGGGAUAACUACUGGAACCGGUACCAAAUACCGCUUACCUCCCCAAACCAAAAGAGGGGGACCUUCGGGCCCCUUGCCAUCGGAUGUGCCCAGAUGGGAUUAGCUAGUAGGUGGGGUAAAGGCUCACCUAGGCGACGAUCCCUAGCUGGUCUGAGAGGAUGACCAGCCACACUGGAACUGAGACACGGUCCAGACUCCUACGGGAGGCAGCAGUGGGGAAUAUUGCACAAUGGGCGCAAGCCUGAUGCAGCCAUGCCGCGUGUGUGAAGAAGGCCUUCGGGUUGUAAAGUACUUUCAGCGGGGAGGAAGGGAGUAAAGUUAAUACCUUUGCUCAUUGACGUUACCCGCAGAAGAAGCACCGGCUAACUCCGUG
rnacentral:rRNA from 1 species